AUUUACAGCCAUUUAUUCUUAAUAACACAGUCCCAAAGAGAGACAAUCAUUUUCUUCAGGAGAAAUACCUCCUAGGUCACCCAUCUCUGGCUUCAACAUACAAAACUUGUGUCAGACACCCUUCAUGGUUAAGGUAUUCCCACAUGGUACAGAGAAGAACUUUCAAAAAGAUUAUGGAAUUUGGGCACCAACAUCAUUUCCAACCAUGAAGGUCUUGCACAGGACGUGGUGAUCAGUCAUCCGUCUCGUGCUGAAAUCUCCUGUUACAUGGAUCUUCUGGCAACUCCAUUUUCUCUUCAUUUUUUCACAAGACAUACGAGAGGAGCCCAGUACCUGCUGCGCUGACACACUGCAACCACAGCACUUCAGCCCUGGGCUGACAGACAAUUUUGUCUGAAGUGGCUCAAAAGCAGAUGUAUUCAAGUGUGUCUUUUUCUAAGCUGCUUUGAUUAUGACAUCUAUGAAUUUGUUUUCUCCCUGUUAUUAUGCACUAUAAAAUCCCACCGCAUCUUUACUUCCUGUUUUAAAAUGAUUAGAAGUCUAAUGUAUUUUGAUAACAUGAAAUGUGCCAGCUGGGAUGAAAUGAAAUUUUGCUUUGAUUCAAGCAUUUCUCUCUAUUAAUCUUCAUACUAUGUUUUAGAGAUGUCUGUUUGGUUUUAGUUAUAUUUACCUAAGUUGUGCAUAAUAUGUGCUGUGUUUGACUCUCCAUUCACAUCCACAUGUGUAAAUUUAGAAUAACUGCUGCAAAGCCAAGGAAAUUAUACCUUAGAUCCAGUUGUAAGAAGAGGAACUGCAGCUUUGAGCUUGGGUCUUUAAUCACAUUCGCAUCCAGUGGAUUUGCCUUUUAUAUCGACUAGUGCAUUUCACUGACAGAUAUUUAUAAUGUAACGCAGUGAUGUAAGCAGGUGCACAGAACAGAUUACAAAUAGUAGUUGUAGAAUUAAAAAUAAAUCCUCCUGUAGCAAGAAUAUUUCUUUACUUCACAUUCAAUCUCCCAUAUGAUUUUGCUCAGAUUUCUGCUGACAAAACUCUGAGUUUAUAUGUAAAUAUUAGAACAUGUUCAAGAUUAUUUUCCAAGUCUAAAAAAAAUACCAUUGCUAUAAUGUAACAGGGUUGAGGAUGCUUCUCAUAUCUGGAGUACUGCAUUUGAAGAAAUGUGAGUUUCAGAUCCUCAGUUGUGUCUUUUCCUCUGGCAUAUGAAUGAUCUUUUGUUUUUACAUUUUGGUAUGUACAAGUGGCCUCAUUCCUGAUGCAAGUGUCCACAGUUAACAUUUGGACCCACUGCUUGUUUGCUGUUUCAUAAAUGGGUCCUCUGUCAAAAAGCCUUGCCCAAAUUAGUGGAAUGCUUAGACUCCACAUCUUUAUACAAGGUUGAGGAAUGGGGAAUCAUUACUGGGACUGCUUGAAAGAGGAAAUAGUAAUGUGGAAAUCUAUGUCCUGAGGGCCUACAGUGCUCUGAGAGUCUACUGAAAAUAAAUAAGUUUAAAUAAAACCAACACAACUCACAGGAACUGCGCAGAGUAGAUACAAAUACAGCUUAUCCAGCAGAUGGCAUCUGGUGACAGUGGCAGAAUCAACAAGCUAUGACGUUUAGUUUAUCUAUCGUUGAACACAGACACAAACAGUGUUGAACUUUACUCAGAGAUCAUCCAUUCAACUCCAAACCAUUAAUGACUUUUCCUAGUGGGAGACAGAGUGUGUCGGUGUGCACCAAUACAGAAAACUUGGAAAUAUUGCUCUGAAAGAGACAUUGUGUCUGACGGGCAAAGGUUGUUUUCCAGAAAACAGUGUUUUACUGCCUGGAGUUGAAGGUAGCACUUUGAUCAUGUACAUGUACAGUGUGCUCUGUCAGAUCUCCUCCAGGAGCUGUUUCUACAUUUCAGAGUGGAUGUGAGGGAGAUCACUUGCCAUCUCCCAUACUCUUUGUCACAAACAUGAUAUCCCCAAGUUGUGCCUCAAGACAUGGAGUCCUGUCACACCGGUUAACUGAAGCUGGAAGGUCACUUUACUUCUCUUUACCUGAAACAGAAUUAACCCCCUUGAAAAUGCUAAAAAUUUCUUUUUGGCAUCCUCAGAGUGAAAGAGAGAGGAGAUCUGAGGGGGGGAAGUAUAUACUGGAAUAUUUUUUACCUUGUCCUUGCCAGAAGAGCUAAAACAUAAUCUGUCUGGGCACUAUUAGUAGCUGGGGUGAACUGAAUUUAUGGCUGUAAGUCACUUGCUUAUUUUGGAAGGAUAUCUAAACUCAUAUAUAUUGGAAUGGAGUUCAGGAUGCUAGUGGUGGCAUUUAAAUGGCACAAUGAAUCACAAGUUGAGGAUAUUAUUCAAUACCUUAUAUUGUAUUAUCAGAUUUGUGACUCAUGGUUGAUGACAACAGGUCUGGCAGUGUUCUGAAUGAUGCCUUCAGAAAGAACAAUUUGGGUCAUUUUCCUUAGGGUUAUGCGGUCAAGGUGUUAUGCACUCAGCUCACAGGGCUGUAUUAUUACGGGACAGCCAGCGUAUUGCAAUGGAUGUGCUGUGUUUCACAAGCACUUGCAAAGAGACCUUCUUCCUAACUUUCACCAGCUGUCCUGAACUGUAGCAAGAAUUUCAAAGUGAGAUUCCUUGAAAGUAUUGGAUGCAUUAUAUUAUAUACUUAUUGCUUAAAAAA